rnacentral:rRNA from 1 species
GAUCUCAAAUCAAGUAAGACUACCCGCUGAACUUAAGCAUAUCAAUAAGCGGAGGAAAAGAAACUAACAAGGAUUCCCCUAGUAACGGCGAGUGAAGCGGGAUGAGCUCAAAUUUGAAAUCUGGCUGGCUUCGUCAGUCCGAGUUGUAGUUUAAAGAGGCGUUUUCGGUGGCAGCCUGGGUACAGAUCCUUUGGAACAGGGUAUCAUAGAGGGUGAGAAUCCCGUCUCUGACUCGGUGUCCUGCUACUAUGUGAUACGUCUUCAAAGAGUCGAGUUGUUUGGGAAUGCAGCUCAAAAUGGGUGGUAAAUCUCAUCUAAGGCUAAAUACCGGCGAGAGACCGAUAGCGAACAAGUACCGUGAGGGAAAGAUGAAAAGAACUUUGAAAAGAGAGUUAAACAGUGCGUGAAAUUGUUGAAAGGGAAACGAUUGAAGUCAGUCAUACCAACGGGAAAUCAACCUUUUGAGCUUGGUCUCGUGGGUUUUGAAGAGUUUCAAAGCCUUCGGAUUCGCGGGAUUGGGAUCUCUUGGUGUACUUUUUCGUACGGUUAGUCAACAUCGGUUUUGAAUGUCAUAAAAUGACUGGAGGAAUGUAGCUUCUUGAAGUGUUAUAGCCUUUGGUAGAUGUGAUGUUUGAGACCGAGGAUUGCAACGGAUACCCUUCAGGGCUAUUCGUCUGAUCUCUGAUACGUUGCCUUGAUGUUGAAAGCUUGCUUAUGAUGUUAGGGUAUUACGGUCAAAAGGUUAGAACGAAUUACAUUCGUUAAGGAUGUUGACGUAAUGACUUUAAACGACCCGUCUUGAAACACGGACCAAGGAGUCUAACAUAUAUGCGAGUGUUU